rnacentral:rRNA from 1 species
GAUCAUGGCUCAGAUUGAACGCUGGCGGCAGGCCUAACACAUGCAAGUCGAACGGUAACAGGAAACAGCUUGCUGUUUCGCUGACGAGUGGCGGACGGGUGAGUAAUGUCUGGGAAACUGCCUGAUGGAGGGGGAUAACUACUGGAAACGGUAGCUAAUACCGCAUAAUGUCGCAAGACCAAAGAGGGGGGGACCCUUCGGGCCGUCUUGUCCAUCGGAUGUGCCCAGAUGGGAUUAG